AUGACCAGUGGUCAUGUUCAAGACAAACCAAACUAAAAGAAAAACAUAAGUCGGCAGAGAAGAGAGAACGAAGUCGGCCAUGAAGGAAAGAAGAAGAAGAGGAGAAGGAAUAGUGGGUUCCAAGUCAAACUAAAUAUGUCAAAUCAUUCCUAAUCGAUUAUAGGCUUUGAUUAUCAUCUUUUUAAGGUGCAAAUGGAUUUGGCGUUAGUGACAAGCAACCAUAAAGGAUGAGCCCUGAGAAGCCAUAGCCAUGGAUGAGCACUUGCAGAAGGUUUACGCAAGUGUUAUCUUUAAAUUACAGUCGAGUAUAUUAUGCUUGUUACAUUACUAGACCAUAUUUUAUGAACUUAAUGUGUCGAUUACUUUAAAUUGGUAAUGUGGUCGUUAAACUGAGUCAUGUCAAAGGUGGUUCUUUAUAGGCAGCUUGUUUGGAUUAAAAAUUUAGCAGGUAUGGAUUGUUGAUAUUACAAUGA